rnacentral:rRNA from 1 species
CGGGUGCACUGAUCCAGCCGGGCCUUUCCCUCUGUGGAACCCCAUGGCCUUCACUGGCUGUGGUGGGGAAACAGGACUUUUACUUUGAAAAAAUUAGAGUGCUCCAGGCAGGCCUAUGCUCGAAUACAUUAGCAUGGAAUAAUAGAAUAGGACGUGUGGUUCUAUUUUGUUGGUUUCUAGGACCGCCGUAAUGAUUAAUAGGGACAGUCGGGGGCAUCAGUAUUCAAUUGUCAGAGGUGAAAUUCUUGGAUCUAUUGAAGACUAACUACUGCGAAAGCAUUUGCCAAGGAUGUUUUCAUUGAUAAGGAACGAAAGUUAGGGGAUCGAAGACGAUCAGAUACCGUCGUAGUCUUAACUAUAAACUAUGCCGACUAGGGAUCGGACGAUGUUAUUCUUUGACGCGUUCGGCACCUUUCGAGAAAUCAAAGUGCUUGGGCUCCAGGGGGAGUAUGGUCGCAAGGCUGAAACUUAAAGAAAUUGACGGAAGGGCACCACCAGGGGUGGAACCUGCGGCUUAAUUUGACUCAACACGGGGAAACUCACCAGGUCCAGACACAGUGAGGAUUGACAGAUUGAGAGCUCUUUCUUGAUUCUGUGGGUGGUGGUGCAUGGGCCGUUCUUAGUUGGUGGAGUGAUUUGUCUGCUUAAUUGGGAUAACGAACGAGACCUUAACCUGCUAAAUAGCCCGUACUGCUUUGGCAGUUCGCCGGCUUCUUAGAGGGACUAUCGG